GACGAACGCUGGCGGCGUGCUUAACACAUGCAAGUCGAACGAUGAAGCCAGCUUGCUGGUGGAUUAGUGGCGAACGGGUGAGUAACACGUGGGUGAUCUGCCCCAAACUUUGGGAUAGGCCUGGGAAACUGGGUCUAAUACCGAAUAUGACCGAUACUCGCAUGGGUGUUGGUGGAAAGCUCCGGCGGUUUGGGAUGGGCCCGCGGCCUAUCAGCUUGUUGGUGGGGUAAUGGCAUACCAAGGCGACGACGGGUAGCCGGCCUGAGAGGGCGACCGGCCACACUGGGACUGAGACACGGCCCAGACUCCUACGGGAGGCAGCAGUGGGGAAUAUUGCACAAUGGGCGCAAGCCUGAUGCAGCGACGCCGCGUGAGGGAUGACGGCCUUCGGGUUGUAAACCUCUUUCACCAGGGACGAAGCGAAAGUGACGGUACCUGGAGAAGAAGCACCGGCCAACUACGUG
rnacentral:rRNA from 1 species